rnacentral:lncRNA from 13 species
GCAAACUAUUGCAAUACAACGCAAUAUUUGCCAUAACACAUGUAAAUAAUGGAACAGAAGACCUGUUUCCUGGAGGACAGGCUGAAGGCUUCUUAGACAAAGGAGACAUUUGAAUUGGAUCUCUCCUUUCCCUUCCAUAGGUUGUCAUGUGCCAGUUCUUGUCUUCCUUUCACAAGAGAAGGGAUGUAUCUUCAGAUUAUCAUGAGUUUUAGGAAGAAAAUAAGCAGGGUGCUGUGCUAGAUAAUGAUGAGAAGGAGAGGGUACAGACUUCAGGAAGAGCAGAAGUGUCUUUGAAGAAAAGCUGGACAAUGUACAUGAGCACUUCUAGUCAUCUUGAACAGGCCAGCUGUAACCCAUAAUUGCUACUUGAGGUCCAGUUUUUCCCUCUGACCACACAAUGGAAGGCUGGAACAGUUUUGUAAUUCAGCAGUAUACUUUCAUCCAAGGU